rnacentral:rRNA from 1 species
UACAGAGGGUGCGAGCGUUGUCCGGAAUUACUGGGCGUAAAGGGCGCGUAGGCGGCUUGGUAAGUCGGGGGUGAAAGUCAGCGGCUCAACCGCUGGACUGCCUUCGAGACUGCCUGGCUUGAGCAUGGUAGAGGCUGGCGGAAUUCCGGGUGUAGCGGUGGAAUGCGUAGAGAUCCGGAAGAACACCGGUGGCGAAGGCGGCCUGCUGGGCAGUGGCUGACGCUGAGGCGCGACAGCGGUGGGGAGCAAACAGG